UUUACUUUGGCAGAAUAUGCGUUAGAUUUAGAAUUUAAUUAUAUAGGGAUGAACUAUAAGUAAAA
rnacentral:tRNA from 1 species